CUUUUUUAUUAUAUUUGUAAAAAACAGAAUAUUUUCUAUUGCAUUAUUCGUGCAUUUUUAGUUAAUUAAUUCACAACUCAACUCUUUCUGAUUUUCUCAAAUAGUAAUUAAAACGAAAAACAUCUGUAGAAUAGAUAAACCAAUCUUUGUGGGUUCGACAUCUUUCUAAACUAUUAUUUGGCAGAGUACGAGUUAGAAUUUUAUAUACACUAGACACUCGUCAAAUUUUUGGCGUCGUUGCCGGGGAUUGGCUAAAGUCUACUACAGAUUAAUUGCUUUACUACUAAUUUGAGAUUUUUUUAUUGUCUAAUUAUUUUAACUUUUCUGUAGAAAUUUCAGAAAGGAUAUGACAUGUUCCUCUUCUAGAGAACCAGUUGAAUACGAUCCUGGAAUUGAAAUAUCCUUGCGGUUCUUGCGAAAAGAACAAACCUCACGAUCUCAAAUUUUCACAUCACAGGAAAUGGAUAACGAAGAACUCAAUAACCAACUUCCACCACAUCAAGUAGAAGAACAGUUUGAUGAGGUGGCACCAUGACGUGAUAGAAUACUCCGUGAUUAUGCAAGGCCAGAUCAUUUUAAAGGUCAAGUGUGAGGAGACCACCAAUUGCAACAAACAACUUUGAAAUCCGCACAUGCUUGAUUCAAACUAUUCAACAGUCAUGUCAGUUUGUUGGUGAUGCAAGUGAAGAUCCUCACACACAUCUAAUUGAUUUUCUUGAAUUAGUUGAAACUUGCAGGUAUAAUAGAGUCAUAAGCUAUCAAGUUGCGGCUUUUUCCUUUUUCAUUAAAAGGUGAAGCCAAAACAUGAUUGCGAAGUCUACCAAGAGGUUCCAUUAUAACAUGGGACCAAAUGACACAAAUAUUUCUUAAUAAAUAUUUUUCACCUGCAAACACAAUUAAAAUGAAGUAAGAAAUCAAUAAUUUUAUGCAGAUAGAUACUGAAUAUGUGUACCAGGCAUGGGAAAGAUUAGCAACAAUGUUAAGAAAAUACCCACAUCAUGGUAUCCAAGACACUGACAUUUUAUAUAUUUUCUAUCAUGAUCUUAAACCCUCUGCUAGAAAUGUAAUUGAUGCAGCAUCAGGAGGAUCAAUAAUGAAAAAAACUGCUACAGAAGCAAUGCAAUUUCUUAAUGAGAUUUCGGAAAAUGUUGUUCAAUGGCCCUCAGGCAGAAUGAUUAUCAAGAAAACAGCAUGAGUAAAUCAAGUUGAAGCUUUGAAUUCAUUGUCACAACAAAUUGCGAACUUACCACAAAAAGUUGAGGCCUUUCAGGUAGGUGCUCACUCAUCAUCCCAACUUGAGAAUUGUGAUGUUUGUCAAGGUAAUCAUCUGAAUCAUGAAUGUCAAGCUUCAACACAAAAUGAGGAACGGUUAAAUGUGAUUGGUUAUAGAAAUAAUUACUCAUCCGGUAGUCCCAUGGCACAAAAAAUCCAGGAUUUCAAUGGAAUAAUCCUAAUGGUAUUGAAAAUACUCAAAGAUUUUUUAAUCAAAGGCAGCAGGUACAGGGACCACCUGGUUUUCAAAAUCAAAAUAGAGGGCAACAAAAUUUCCAACAAUAUCAGUAGCAACCCCAAAAAGCUCAUCAACAAAGCCUUGAAGAGCUGAUGUACAAAUUCAUUAAGGCUACUGACGAGAAGGUUGAAAGUCAACAUUCAACUAUCAAGAAUUUGGAAAUUCGGGUACGCUAAUUAGCAACCCUCAUGUCUGGACAAAUUCAAGGUGCUCUACCAAGCAACACUGAGAAAAAUCCAAAAGAAUACCUCAAAUCCAUUUCUCUACGGCCAGGUAAAGCUCUUGAUGAUCCAUAUGGAGCUAGAGAAGAAAAGCCACAAGAAGUGGAAAAGGUAAAUAAAGGUGAGAAUAAAACAGAAUCUAAUUUCCCAAAAGAACAAAAGGGUAAAUAAAAAAAUGUACUAGAAAAUAAAUUGAUAACAAAUCCUCACUAUGUACCUCUCCUUUUUUCCCCAAAAGAUGAAAAGAGAAAAGAAUGACAAACAGUUUUCCAAGUUUCUCGAUAUUUUGAAACAACUUUACAUUAACAUACUUUUCACAAAUGCUUUGACCCAAAUACCUUCCUAU
rnacentral:lncRNA from 1 species